rnacentral:rRNA from 1 species
UUGAACUGAAGAGUUUGAUCCUGGCUCAGAUUGAACGCUGGCGGCAUGCCUUACACAUGCAAGUCGAACGGCAGCACGGGUGCUUGCACCUGGUGGCGAGUGGCGAACGGGUGAGUAAUACAUCGGAACAUGUCCUGUAGUGGGGGAUAGCCCGGCGAAAGCCGGAUUAAUACCGCAUACGAUCCACGGAUGAAAGCGGGGGACCUUCGGGCCUCGCGCUAUAGGGUUGGCCGAUGGCUGAUUAGCUAGUUGGUGGGGUAAAGGCCUACCAAGGCGACGAUCAGUAGCUGGUCUGAGAGGACGACCAGCCACACUGGGACUGAGACACGGCCCAGACUCCUACGGGAGGCAGCAGUGGGGAAU